AUGUGUCCAGAUCUGGUACUGUGGGGCGUGACUACUUUUCUUUGACUGUCACGGCAUUGCUGUAUGGAUGUUGACAUAUGGGAGCGAAGGCCUGUGUAGAAAGGAAAAGAAGAUCUUGAGAGUGGGAGUGGCCAUCAAAGGGGGAUCUGAGUCCAGAACUGAAGGAAUGGGCUGUGGCAAGUGCGCCCUGUUUGGUUUACAUGGUUCCUGGUAAUGGUGGUGCCAGUGGGAGCAGAGGAGCUGCUUGCAUCCAUGAGGUAAGUGUUAAGUUUGAGCUUUUAGUGCACUACUGUUGAUGGGAGUGUGGUCUUUGCUGGGUUAGGUGAGGUGGGCUU